rnacentral:rRNA from 1 species
GACGAACGCUGGCGGCGUGCUUAACACAUGCAAGUCGAACGGUGAAAGCGGAGCUUGCUCCGCUGGAUCAGUGGCGAACGGGUGAGUAACACGUGGGCAACCUGCCCCUCACUUCGGGAUAACUCCGGGAAACCGGGGCUAACACCGGAUAUGACCUCCUUGGGCAUCCUUGGAGGUGGACAGUUUUUCGGUGAGGGAUGGGCCCGCGGCCUAUCAGCUUGUUGGUGAGGUAGUGGCUCACCAAGGCGACGACGGGUAGCCGGCCUGAGAGGGCGACCGGCCACACUGGGACUGAGACACGGCCCAGACUCCUACGGGAGGCAGCAGUGGGGAAUAUUGCGCAAUGGGCGAAAGCCUGACGCAGCAACGCCGCGUGCGGAAUGACGGCCUUUGGGUUGUAAACCGCUUUCAGCAGGGAAGAAGCCGCAAGGUGACGGUACCUGCAGAAGAAGCACCGGCUAACUACGUGCCAGCCGCCGCUGUAA